GACGAACGCUGGCGGCGUGCCUAACACAUGCAAGUCGAGCGAAUGAAAUUCCUUCGGGAACGGAUUUAGCGGCGGACGGGUGAGUAACACGUGGGCAACCUGCCUCAUAGAGGGGAAUAGCCUUCCGAAAGGGAGAUUAAUACCGCAUAAGAUUGUAGUACCGCAUGGUACAGCAAUUAAAGGAGCAAUCCGCUAUGAGAUGGGCCCCGCGGCGCAUUAGCUAGUUGGUGAGGUAACGGCGUCACCAAGGCGACGAUGCGUAGCCAACCUGAGAGGGUGAUCGGCCACAUUGGGACUGAGACACGGCCCAGACUCUACGGAGGCAGCAGUGGGGAAUAUUGCACAAUGGGGGAAACCCUGAUGCAGCAACGCCGCGUGAGUGAUGAGCCUGGUGUAAAGCGUCUGUGAUCGGGACGAACGG
rnacentral:rRNA from 1 species